rnacentral:rRNA from 1 species
ACAAGCGGUGGAGCAUGUGGUUUAAUUCGACGCAACGCGCAGAACCUUUACCUAGACUUGACAUCCCGGGGAUUUUCUGGAAACAGAGAAGUGCUUUUAGCAAUAAAGAACCCGGUGACAGGUGCUGCAUGGCUGUCGUCAGCUCGUGUCGUGAGAUGUUGGGUUAAGUCCCGCAACGAGCGCAACCCUCGCCUUUAGUUGCCAGCAUUCAGUUGGGCACUCUAGAGGGACUGCCGGUGUCAAACCGGAGGAAGGUGGGAUGACGUCAAGUCCUCAUGGCCUUUAUGUCUAGGGCUACACACGUACUACAAUGGCCGGUACAAAGGGCAGCCACUCAGCGAUGAGGCGCUAAUCCCAUAAAGCCGGUCUCAGUCCGGAUCGCAGUCUGCAACUCGACUGCGUGAAGUUGGAAUCGCUAGUAAUCGUAGAUCAGCAUGCUACGGUGAAUACGUUCCCGGGCCUU